rnacentral:rRNA from 1 species
AGAGUUUGAUUCUGCUCAGAACGAACGCUGGCGGCGUGGAUAAGACAUGCAAGUCGAACGGUUUUGUCAGGCGCUUGCGUCAGACGAAGUAGUGGCGAACGGGUGCGUAACGCGUGGAAACAUUCCGGUUAGUUGCGGAUAGCUCAGGGAAACUUGAGGUAAUACGCAAUGCGGUCGAGAGACCAAAGGUGGGGACAUUCGCCUACCGCUAAUCGAUUGAUCCGCGCCCUAUCAGCUUGUUGGCGGGGUAAAGGCCCACCAAGGCUACGACGGGUAACUGGUCUGAGAGGAUGAUCAGUCACACUGGAACUGCGACACGGUCCAGACACCUACGGGUGGCAGCAGUCGAGAAUCUUUCACAAUGGGGGCAACCCUGAUGGAGUGACGCCGCGUGGAGGAUAAGGUCUUCGGAUUGUAAACUCCUGUCAUAUGUGAAAAAACGGCGCUAGCUAACAUCUAGCGUUUCUGAUUGUAGCAUAAGAGGAAGAGGCGGCAAACUCUGUGCCAGCAGCCGCGGUAAUACAGAGGCCUCAAGCGUUGUUCGGAAUCACUGGGCGUAAAGGGUGCGUAGGUUGUUGAUUAAGUCGAAUGAUAAAGUCCGCAGCUCAACUGCGGAAUCCAUCCGAUACUGGUUAACUUGAGGCUCGGGGAGGGGGUUGGAACUCACGGAGUAGCAGUGAAAUGCGUAGAGAUCGUGAAGAACACCAAAGGCGAAGGCAGACCCCUAAAAGAUGCCUGACACUGAGGCACGAAGGCUAGGGUAGCAAACGGGAUUAGAUACCCCGGUAGUCCUAGCAGUAAACGGUGCAUGCUUGGUUCGGGCCAAUUUGACUUGGUUCGAGCGGUAGCUAACGCGUUAAGCAUGCCGCCUGGGAAGUACGGUCGCAAGACUAAAACUCAAAGAAAUUGACGGGGACCCGCACAAGCGGUGGAGUAUGUGGCUUAAUUCGAUGCAACGCGAAGAACCUUACCUGGGCUUGACAUGGAUAUUACCGGCUGUGAAAGCAGUCCUGCAAAGCAAUUUGCAAUAUUCACAGGUGCUGCAUGGCUGUCGUCAGCUCGUGUCGUGAGAUGUUGGGUUAAGUCCCGCAACGAGCGCAACCCCUGUGGUUAGUUGCCACCCUAUUUGGGGGCACUCUAGCUAGACUGCCUAGAUUAACUAGGAGGAAGGUGGGGAUGACGUCAAGUCCUGAUGGCCCUUACGUCCAGGGCUGCACACGUACUACAAUGCUAAGCACAGAAAGAGCCGAUACCGCGAGGUGGAGGAAAUCAUUAAAGCUUAGCCAAGUUCAGAUUGCAGGCUGCAACUCGCCUGCAUGAAGUUGGAAUCGCUAGUAAUGGCGCAUCAGCUACGGUGCCGUGAAUACGUUCCCGGGUCUUGUACACACCGCCCGUCACAUCAUGGAAGUUGGUGCCGCCCGAAGCAGUUAAUUCGACUAAGGUUGCGCUAAUGACUGGGAUGAAGUCGGAACAAGGUAGCCGUAGGGGAACCU